rnacentral:rRNA from 1 species
GAGUUUGAUCAUGGCUCAGAACGAACGCUGGCGGCAGGCCUAACACAUGCAAGUCGAGCGAGACCUUCGGGUCUAGCGGCGGACGGGUUAGUAACGCGUGGGAACGUGCCCUUUACUACGGAAUAGUCCCGGGAAACUGGGUUUAAUACCGUAUACGCCCUUCGGGGGAAAGAUUUAUCGGUAAAGGAUCGGCCCGCGUUAGAUUAGAUAGUUGGUGGGGUAAUGGCCUACCAAGUCUACGAUCUAUAGCUGGUUUGAGAGGAUGAUCAGCAACACUGGGACUGAGACACGGCCCAGACUCCUACGGGAGGCAGCAGUGGGGAAUCUUAGACAAUGGGCGCAAGCCUGAUCUAGCCAUGCCGCGUGAGUGACGAAGGCCUUAGGGUCGUAAAGCUCUUUCGCCAGGGAUGAUAAUGACAGUACCUGGUAAAGAAACCCCGGCUAACUCCGUGCCAGCAGCCGCGGUAAUACGGAGGGGGUUAGCGUUGUUCGGAAUUACUGGGCGUAAAGCGCACGUAGGCGGACUGGAAAGUUGGGGGUGAAAUCCCGGGGCUCAACCUCGGAACUGCCUCCAAAACUACUAGUCUAGAGUUCGAGAGAGGUGAGUGGAAUUCCGAGUGUAGAGGUGAAAUUCGUAGAUAUUCGGAGGAACACCAGUGGCGAAGGCGGCUCACUGGCUCGAUACUGACGCUGAGGUGCGAAAGUGUGGGGAGCAAACAGGAUUAGAUACCCUGGUAGUCCACACCGUAAACGAUGAAUGCCAGUCGUC